CUAAUAGUAGCUUAAGGAUUUAAAGCAUAAGACUCUUAAUCUUAGUAUGUUACGAGUAAGAACCUAUUAGC
rnacentral:tRNA from 2 species